rnacentral:rRNA from 1 species
AUUGAACGCUGGCGGCAUGCUUUACACAUGCAAGUCGAACGGCAGCGCGGGCUUCGGCCUGGCGGCGAGUGGCGAACGGGUGAGUAAUACAUCGGAACGUGCCCAGUAGUGGGGGAUAGCCCGGCGAAAGCCGGAUUAAUACCGCAUACGACCUGAGGGUGAAAGCGGGGGAUCUUCGGACCUCGCGCUAUUGGAGCGGCCGAUGGCAGAUUAGCUAGUUGGUGGGGUAAAGGCCUACCAAGGCGACGAUCUGUAGCUGGUCUGAGAGGACGACCAGCCACACUGGGACUGAGACACGGCCCAGACUCCUACGGGAGGCAGCAGUGGGGAAUUUUGGACAAUGGGCGAAAGCCUGAUCCAGCAAUGCCGCGUGUGUGAUGAAGGCCUUCGGGUUGUAAAGCACUUUUGGCGGGAACGAAAAGGACUGUGCCAAUACCACGGUUCGAUGACGGUACCCGCAGAAUAAGCACCGGCUAACUACGU